ensembl:lncRNA
ACUGUAGAGGCAGAAGUUGCCACUUUUGAUCUUCAUUCUGGCUAAGUCAACGUUGUCUAUCCAUGGGCAAGAAUAGUUGCUUCACAGACAGACAUAAACAGGAUAGCUUUGAGAUUAUAUGUUUUACACUGAGUACGUACUCUGAUUUUCAAUUAUUAGAUUGGUUCAGGAGCUGAAAAAAAAAAAUGCUUUAUCUAGUUUCCAGAGUUUUAUUCAUAUGCAUUAAGUGUAACAACUCUUGCCACUCUUUGUUACACUCAUAAACAUUCAGUCUUCCUUUCAUUCUUCUUAAAUUCUCUACCUCGUGACAGGACAGUAGAUUUCAACCACUGCUGAUUUUGAUUAAUUUUCACAAGCCAAGUUGAGCACUGCUCUCAGCUGAUGUGUCAGCUACUGGACACUUCAUGGGCUAAUGGCCUGAUCUGGUCUGGGAAUUCUAACAUCAUUAUAGCUGCCAACAGAGGAGGGUCGAAGAGGGAGGGCAUCACCUUGACAGUGCCUCUCAAAAAUGAAAACAAGUCUUCUUCACAAAGCUAUAGACUUAAAAUGGUCACCCGCAAAUUCAUAUCAUUAAUGAGAAGAUAUAUUAAAAAACCCCAAAACAAUAACAACAAAACCAGCACAUGCUUUUAAGAAUACAGCAGAUUCUGUAUUAAUCUUUCCUUCUUGAAAAAUAUAUAUAUAUAGAAAUCCAAAUAGGAUAUAAAUAGCCCUGUUCUGAGAGAGAAAAAAAAAAAAAAGAACAAAAAGAAAAUAAAAGCCUAAAGCAGCCUUAUUAAGACUAACUAUAAUGAGACACAUCCAGGAAUGAAUAAUGCCCAAGGAGACCUCGGAGUCAGAGUGGACAGUGAAUCAAACAUUGACAAUGCAAUAUGGCAGGGAAAAAGGGAGCCUGCAAAUGUGGUCUGUCAUGAGGGAGAGAAGGACUGUGUCCAGAAGGGACUCCUGGGAAUAUUCUGCAAAUGCUCACCGAGCUCCUGAGCCAACAGUGCCAAAAAUAAAUAAAUAAAAAAUAAAAUAAAUAAUAAAAAAAAAGUCAUAAUAAGGGAACUAGAGGAAGUUCAAAGAAGAGCAAUCAGAAUGAUCUGUGUGCUGAAAUAAACCAGCUGUGUGCAAAGACCAAAACAUCUGGAGAAGUACAGAGAAGUACAGUGCUACCUAAGUGGCAUAAGUAGAGUUCCUAAGGAUACAGAAGGCAGAAUCCAGCCUCUUUACACAGCUUUGGCUUUUGUAGGCAUCAUGCAGAGCCCUUACAAGUCUGAUUUUGUGCUGAGGAAGGACUCUGUCAACACAGCGACUGUAGGGAAUAGCUUGGAGGCUGCCUUAAGGAGCCCAGUCCCAGUGUCAGGGAUAAUAGCAGCGCUGUGGAGAUGGUGCUGCAGCACUGCAGGAAUUACAGUGCAAGCAGCAAGGCAGUUACCUGAACUUCUGGUGCUCGGAGUAUUUAAAUUACACCGAAAGCCUUGAGAUGGUCCAGGAACAAGAGGACACAAAGGUGGCUGAGAGCCAGCACGGAGCCAUCCUUAAGACAUUCAGCAAGCAGCAACUGUGAGAGCUGGGUAAGGGGGUGGGAAAAAAGAAGAGGGGGAAAUGAAGGCUUACGAUUGACUAGCGAGGGAAAACGCACAUCGUAAAGGUCAAACCUAAGGCUGUGGAGAAACGAUUAAAACACCUAAAGCCUUGCCGAGGGCCGGGGGUUGCAGCGUGCGUGUGCACAGAGGGGCUGCACAGUCCCUCGGUGGAGCCGAGACCUCCGCUUUCUGCAAGAAGGCGCGCAGCUCGGGAUGGGGGCCCCGAGCGAAGGAGGCACCGGGCAGCCCUCCCCCCGUGCUUCCCGUUCACAUAGAGACCGCCACGUGCGAUCACCCCCGCGAGGUGCGUCUCCAUUAAUAAUUCACUGCCAUCCUUGAUUCAUCAAGUCCGGGAAGUUCCCAGCAAGAGUGGGGAAAGAGCAGGCGGGCAUCUCCGCUGCCCGCAGAAGGACUUACGAGCGGCUCCCGGGAUGAGAAACCGCACGGCACGACCAAGCGAAGAGCGGUGCGCCUCUCUCUCCUUCUUACACCCCCCCUUUCCCCCCCAUUCCAUUCUGCUUUUCACUCUCACUACGAAGCCACCACCUCACGCACUGAGCAGCCCUCGGGGGGGACGGGGGAGUCGGCGGCACGGCACGGCACGGCCCCGACCGCC